rnacentral:misc_RNA from 1 species
GAUGAAGAACGUAGCAAAAUGCGAUAAGUAAUGUGAAUUGCAGAAUUCAGUGAAUCAUCGAAUCUUUGAACGCACAUUGCGCCCGCCAGUAUUCUGGCGGGCAUGCCUGUUCGAGCGUCAUUUCAACCCUCAAGCACAGCUUGGUGUUGGGACUCGCGUUAAUUCGCGUUCCUCAAAUUGAUUGGCGGUCACGUCAAGCUUCCAUAGCGUAGUAGUAAAACCCUCGUUACUGGUAAUCGUCGCGGCCACGCCGUUAAACCCCAACUUCUGAAUGUUGACCUCGGAUCAGGUAGGAAUACCCGCUGAACUUAAGCAUAUCAAUAAGCGGAGGA